rnacentral:rRNA from 1 species
AAGGAUCAUUAAUGAAUUCACUAUGGAGUUGUUGCUGGCCUCUAGGGGCAUGUGCACGCUUCACUAGUCUUUCAACCACCUGUGAACUUUUGAUAGAUCUGUGAAGUCGUCUCUCAAGUCGUUAGACUUGGUUUGCUGGGAUGUAAACGUCUCGGUGUGACUACGCAGUCUAUUUACUUAUAACACCCCAAAUGUAUGUCUACGAAUGUCAUUUAAAGGGCCUUGUGCCUAUAAACCAUAAUACAACUUUCAACAACGGAUCUCUUGGCUCUCGCAUCGAUGAAGAACGCAGCGAAAUGCGAUAAGUAAUGUGAAUUGCAGAAUUCAGUGAAUCAUUGAAUCUUUGAACGCACCUUGCGCCCCUUGGUAUUCCGAGGGGCAUGCCUGCUUGAGUGUCAUUAAAUUCUCAAACUCACUCUGGUUUUUCCAAUUGUGAUGUUUGGAUUGUUGGGGGCUGCUGGCCUUGACAGGUCGGCUCCUCUUAAAUGCAUUAGCAGGACUUCUCAUUGCCUCUGCGCAUGAUGUGAUAAUUAUCACUCAUCAAUAGCACGCAUGAAUAGAGUCUGGCUCUCUAACCGUCCGCAAGGCAAUUUGACAAUUUGACCUCAAAUCAGGUAGGACUACCCGCUGAACUUAA